rnacentral:rRNA from 1 species
CUGAACCAGCCAAGUAGCGUGAAGGAUGACUGCCCUAUGGGUUGUAAACUUCUUUUAUACGGGAAUAAAGUGAGGCACGUGUGCCUUUUUGCAUGUACUUUAUGAAUAAGGAUCGGCUAACUCCGUGCCAGCAGCCGCGGUAAUACGGAGGAUCCGAGCGUUAUCCGGAUUUAUUGGGUUUAAAGGGAGCGUAGAUGGAUGUUUAAGUCAGUUGUGAAAGUUUGCGG